AUUGAACGCUGGCGGCAUGCCUUACACAUGCAAGUCGAACGGUAACAGGUCUUCGGAUGCUGACGAGUGGCGAACGGGUGAGUAAUACAUCGGAACGUGCCCGAUCGUGGGGGAUAACGAGGCGAAAGCUUUGCUAAUACCGCAUACGAUCUACGGAUGAAAGCGGGGGAUCUUCGGACCUCGCGCGGACGGAGCGGCCGAUGGCAGAUUAGGUAGUUGGUGGGAUAAAAGCUUACCAAGCCGACGAUCUGUAGCUGGACUGAGAGGAUGGUCAGCCACACUGGAACUGAGACACGGCCCAGACUCCUACGGGAGGCAGCAGUGGGGAAUUUUGGAAAAUGGGCGAAAGCCUGAUCCAGCCAUGCCGCGUGCAGGAUGAAGGCCUUCGGGUUGUAAACUGCUUUUGUACGGAACGAAAAGCCUCUUUCUAAUAAAGAGGGGUCAUGACGGUACCGUAAGAAUAAGCACCGGCUAACUACGUGCCAGCAGCCGCCGUAA
rnacentral:rRNA from 1 species